UACGUAGGGGGCAAGCGUUGUCCGGAUUUAUUGGGCGUAAAGCGCUCGCAGGUGGUUCGAUGCGUCGUGCGUGAAAGACCCCGGCUCAACUGGGGAGGGUCGUGCGAAACGGGUGAACUAGAGGCCAGUAGGGGGAUGCGGAAUUCCGGGUGUAGUGGUGGAAUGCGUAGAGAUCCGGAGGAACACCAGCGGCGAAGGCGGCAUCCUGGACUGGUCCUGACACUCAGGAGCGAAAGCGUGGGGAGCGAUCCGG
rnacentral:rRNA from 1 species